rnacentral:lncRNA from 1 species
GUCCUACCAUAGUCAUUAGAAACACAAAGGAAGCUCUGAUAAGUUCCACGAUUCAUUCAAGGACCAAGGUUAAUUUUUAUUUAUUCCCAGGUCAUUACAAACAGAGGCAGAUGGUGGUGGCAUUUCCUUCUUGCCGGGAGCUCAGAUAUUAUCUGGAUAGAUUUCAGCAGGCUUCUUUGUCCGUUGCCUCUCUGCACGGGCAGCUUUCCUGGAUAGGGCCCCAGCCACCCAAACUGCAGACGGGUUUGAUUUAAUUCUGAUGACUUGUGGUCAGUAAUCGAGGUCACUGGGGCCUGGCUGGAGGGGAGCCAGCAUCGCCAAGGAGAAAGGUUGACAUCGUUUAUCCUUUAGUGGCUCUUCCUUUGGAGGCUUUAUUUUUGGUGACCCAUUUAGGCGGUAGCUUACUAAACUGUGGCUAUCCAUUCAUCGCAGAGCACUUUCAAUUUUACUAGUAUCGGCUGACUCUGGGAUGGUUUAAAACAACUAUACUUCAAUUAAAAAAAAUUAAAACAAGAAACAAACAACACCCCCCCUAUGGAAUUUACUGAUGCAGCCCUAGAGGAAUCAUCGUAAGGGGCCAGACCCCAGGUUUAUCCAGUCAGUUUUUCUGCUACACAGACGAGUAGCAUACAUAGCCCUUUCUCUCAGAGCUCACCUUCUGGGUGGAGAAGGCAAUCACAUUCCACCGAAAUUAGUGAAUACCCAUCAACGGCCUCUCCUGCACUUAUCCUUCCUUCUUUGCGUGCGUGCUCUUUCCUGUCUGACUGCGGCCCCAUGGACUGUAGCCUGGCAGGCUCCUCUGUCCGUGGAAUUCUCCAGGAAAGAAUACUGAAGUGGGUUGCCAUUUUCUACUCCAGGGGAUCUUCCCAACCCAGGGAUCAAACCCAGGUUUCCUGCAUUGGCAGGCGGGUUCUUUCCCAUCUGAACCACCGGGGAAGCCCAUCCUGUACUUUUAGGUUCUUAGAAGCCUGAGAACAGCACAGGGAGGCAGUUGAAGAGCAAAAUAGUACGGGCUUGUCUUCUGGCUGGGAAGGCCUGAGACCCCCUGCAGCAGAGCUUCCGGUUAGCCUGAAGCCAGAGCACAGCUGCCACUCAGC